AUUUGGCUUUGGAUACGAUGUUCUUUAAUUUUGAUGGUGGCACCACAUGAUGUGGCAACAAAGUGUCUUGAGAUAGCCCAAGAGGGUGAAAAUUUUAAAUUUUUGCAUAAUAGCAACCAAAAGCUCUCAAGCAAGUAUUCCUGUUGGCCAAAGUCUAGAAGUUGUAGCCCCAAAAGGACUUCACAAAAGAAGACGACAUACAUUUCUGAUGUACUUUGCUCUUCACCAAUAUUCAGCAGGGAUCCCUGACAAAGGGUCUGUCUACUUCCACAGCCCUUUUUUGUGAGAAAACGAGUGUAUAACAGAUUCCAAUGAGGCCCCUGAAGGGCAGAAAGCAGGUCUACUAAUGUGAUGGUGAUAAUGAUUAUAUUAAUUGUGGGAUCUCAUAGUGCAAAAAUUAAGAGCAAAAGAAAGAAACCAUUUGCUUUUUGUUUUACAGUAUAAUGACCAAAAUCCUCUUGCUUGAUGUAGUAAAUUGCACUAGAGUAAGCUUAUUGGAUCAAUAGAGGUUUUGGUAGAAUUAACUGUUCUGUACAUUCCAUUGAUUCAAAUAGGUCUACUCUAACUGUGCCCUACUUUGGCAUGGUAAGUUUCUCAACCGAUUUGAAUCAAGGGAACUUAAGAAGGAGCUGACUCCUCAGAUCCCCAUUGAUUUAAUAGGCUUACUCUAGUGCUCUUUACUAUCCAAUGCAACAAGAGUUUUGGCCAAUAUUUUUAUGACACUGGAUAGAUAGCACACCCUUUGGAAAAAGCAAAUAAAGACAUCAGAGGCGGGUUGUGUGUGGGCA
rnacentral:lncRNA from 1 species